GCAAACGACAUCCCCACAAUUGGAGAGAAAUCCCAACGCUUGGGAUCCCAAGUGCCAAAGCUCAAAGGGGUGGCUUUUCAUUAGUGAAAGAGUGCGAAAAAGGAGCUGGGCAAGACCGGUGCCAGCCGCCGCGGAAACACCGGCAGCUCUAGUGGUUACAAAUUUUAUGGGGCCUAAAGCGUCCGUAGCCGGUUUAAUAAAUCCCUGGUGAAAUCCUGUAGCUUAACUGUGGAAAUUGCUUGAGAUACUAUUAGAUUUGAGACCGGGAGAGGUUAGGGGUACUCCCAGGGUAAAGGGGAAAUUUUGUAAUCCUGGGGGGCCCCCGGGUUGCAAGGGGGUUAAUUGGAACGGAUUCCAAGUUUGGGACAAAACCUGGGGAGCUUCCGAAUUAUAAACCCAAGACCCUGGCUGUAAACUCUCCGAGCUAGGUGUGGCAUAUCCCUAGGGGAUGUGCGGUAUCCCAGCGAAAGCUUUAAAUCUCCCCCCUGGGAGUUUUGUCCCCAAGGUUAAAACUUAAAGGAUUUGGGGGGGGAAAGGGAAAAUUUUUUAACUUGCGGAACUAGUCCUUUUAGUGAGGUUAUUUCUGAGCUUGGCGGAUUCCGGCCAUACCUUUUUCUAAA
rnacentral:rRNA from 1 species